CGUCGCCUUUCCCCAUUUGCCACGUGACCAGGGCGUAACGGGUAACACAGCUGGGCGCGUAGCGCGCAGGCGCUCUCUUCCCUCCCCUGCACGUGAUGAGGCACAAGGGCCCAUCACGUGAGUCAGGGGGAGAGCGGUGAGGACCAAAGUACGACUGCAGACUGGGCAGGAUUCAAUGGGGUCGAACAGCCAUGCCCAAGUACUGCCGGGCUUCGAACUGCUCCAACACUUCGGGCCGACCGGGCGCUGACAACGGCCCUGUGAGCUUCUACAAGCUGUCCUAAACUUCGCCAUUUGGAGUUAUAUCAGGAAAAAUGAAACAUCUCACUUAAUGCCUGGAGGAGUUGUCACUUUGACGCUGAGAAGCAACCUCAGUCGCUUCUGUCCAGGUGCAGAGCUUCAGCCCUCAAACAGGACCUGGCAUAGGGGCGCCUAAGUGGCUCAGUCGUUAAGUGUCUGCCUUCGGCUCAGGUCAUGAUCCCAGGGUCCUGGGAUCG